rnacentral:rRNA from 1 species
UACAGAGGGGGCUAGCGUUGUUCGGAAUUACUGGGCGUAAAGGGCGCGUAGGCGGCUCGCCAAGUCAGGUGUGAAAUCCCGGGGCUUAACUUCGGAAUUGCACUUGAAACUAGUGAGCUUGAGGACGAGAGAGGAUAGUAGAAUUCCUAGUGUAGGAGUGAAAUCCGUAGAUAUUAGGAGGAAUACCAGUGGCGAAGGCGGCUAUCUGGCUCGUUUCUGACGCUGAGGCGCGAAAGCGUGGGGAUCAAACAGG